rnacentral:rRNA from 1 species
AUUGAACGCUGGCGGCAGGCCUAACACAUGCAAGUCGAACGAGUGGCGGACGGGUGAGUAAUGUCUGGGAAACUGCCUGAUGGAGGGGGAUAACUACUGGAAACGGUAGCUAAUACCGCAUACCAUCAGAUGUGCCCAGAUGGGACUAGCUAGUAGGUGGGGUAAAGGCUCAACUAGGCUACGAUCCCUAGCUGGUCUGAGAGGAUGACCAGCCAAACUUGAACUGAGACACGGUCCAGACUCCUACGGGAGGCAGCAUUGGGGAAUAUUGCACAAUGUGCGCAAGCCUUAUGCAUCCAUGCCGCGUGUAUGAAGAAGGCCUUCGGGUUGUAAAGUACUUUCAGCGGGGAGGCGUUACCCGCAGAAGAAGCACCGGCUAACUCCGUGCCAGCAGCCGCGGUAAUAC